GGAACCUUUUAAUGACUUUAUUCCGAUCGAUUCCUGACUUGGCACAAAUGGAAUUUAGAGAAUACAGAGUUGAAACAAGAAGAAAGAACUGACAACAAAGUGUGAAACACUGAGCAGCAUGGAGCUCUCAGCAUCAAUGAGCAAUAGGAUCCUUCACUUUCGCUGCCACGGCCCGAGUUCGAUUCCCGGGCAUGGAACCAACCCUCCCACUGAGGGGUUAACUCUCAGUGCCGAUCCUAAAGCCCGGAUAAAUGGGAGUGUUGUGCCCGGAAGGGCAUCCGGUGUAAAAUCUGUGCCAAAAUCAAAUAUGCAGAUUGUCUGAUCCACUGUGGCAUCCCUGAACGGGGAGCAGCCGAAGGACAACAACAACAUUUUUUAUUGUGUCCAUUAACGUCAUUUGGGAAUGUUCUCUAGGUGAAGUCUCUGGUUUUCACAAACAGAUGAUAUGCAAUUUAAAAAUAAAAGACCAGCGAUAGGAAGGAUUUAGAACUUUCUUUCAUGCAGAUGAAUUUAUCUAAAAAAUUUAAGAGAACUUAUGGGAAACAAAGUUUAAAAAGUUUCACAUUUAGGAUUCUUUUACACAAGUCUUGGUAUCAUUGCAUUUCACAUAAUGAACAGGUUCCUAGCUUUUACAUCCAGUCCCAAUGUUUUAAAGUUCGGCUGCUUAGAGAUGACAAAGAAAAGAUUUUUGCACUAAGCUGAAUGUGUGGGUGU